CUCCAGGCCCAUUUAUGAUCCUGGGCAGAGUCUGAGUAAUCUAGCGCAUCUGAAUCACAAGAAAGAGGCAAGUCUCAAUUUGGAAUCAGAAAAUGAUGCAAACAUUUCUGAGCCCUGGGAAAGGAGGGAAGCCUGGGCAGAACCGGGAUCUGCCUAGAAAGGGAUACUCCUGGUGUGGAGGAACCAACCCCAUGUCAGUGAAGAAGCCACAGAGAGAGUCAGUACCCACGACUGAUUUGUCUCUGCUGGGUUUGGACGGCCCCCUGUCCCCUUGGCCCGAGCCGAGCCUUUGAGGACACGCAUGAGCAGCGUCUAGUUCUCCUUUGCUGGGUCAUGAGAGGAAAGAGCUUGUCUUGGAGAAGGGUCAAGGGCAGGCUGUUUUGUUCUCCAGCAACAAAACAGAGCAGGCUAGAGGAAACCACCCAAGUGACGAGCUCUGCAGAGGGCAAGUGAAGGCUGAGUCUAAACACAAAAGUGGAGGAGCCCAUCUCCUUGGAGCUGUUUAUAUUACAUAACUCAAAUAAACACAGCAGUGCAAGAACGGUUCCCUUGGCGAGGGCCAGGACCACAGAGCCGAGAGGCAGACAAAGGGCGUCGCCUCCAGCCCUGGUCAGAGAAGCCUCCUUUCAAACAAUGACACGGACCACAGCAACCCGACUAACCCACAGGGACACACCAGCACGAUGCAGCAGGAUACCCUGAACGGAUUAACAAGAACCGUUUAAUUAGGACUUCUAAGGUGUCUUUCUUUGCUCUGGCUGAGAAAUAGACCCUGAUCAGAGCAAGAAGCAGCAGCAAAACUGACCCCGAAAUGGCUCUUUUCAUUUGCAAAGGAGGGGUGGGUAUGAGGAGGCACCUGUGAGCCCCUGGGAAGCUGGGAAACCAGGCCCAGGCAGGAAGGAGCACAGCCGCUGCCUCCCACCCCCCGACAACCCCAGGGGAACAGCCUUCUCAGCCCUGGGGCGAAGCAGGGGGACCCCGGCCUUCUGGGAAGCAUCGGGCAGUUUCCAUGGCGUCAGUGCGAGCAAGAAGAAGAAGAAAAAAAAUAAAAGUUUCCAACUCCGUAAAUGAGCACAGGCCCACAGGCCCCACGUCUGAACGAAAUCAGAGAGUCUUGAAAUUGAGAGCAGGCGAGAACCUACUGAAACCUUCUUUUUCAUCAGCAGCCUGCAGCCUCCUGGGACAGCAGCCCCUAUCAUAUGCCAGGGGACAAGAAUAGAACUAAAAAUUGAGAGCACAGCCCUCAGCACGGGCUGAUAGUCCUGGUUGCCAACAGUUGCCCCAUUAGUAGGCUAUGGGGACAUGCUAGGGAACAUUUUCUCUACAAGGCUUGUGUUUAAAAAUACAUCUUGCUUCAGAGCCGGCCUGGGGCGUGGCCGGGGAGUCAGCCUUCUCUUCUGGGCUGAGCAGGUGCUUGUCACUCUGUGAUUCACUGCAGAUCACUUACCCUCUGGGCUUGCCCCUUCCGCACCACGUGACAGCGACCCAGACCUCCACGAGGGCCCCUCGCAAGUUAAUGUCUUAGACGAUUCCUGGAUGAAAGCCACACUCCACAGUCGCCCUCCCCAGGGUACACACAGGAUGCGCGCGUGGCCGGGGCUGAAAGGCGAUGGUGACCAAGGUCACACUUCACUGCCAAGGGUGCCGACCCCUUCGCACUCUGUGGAUGUAUCCCUGGAGAUAGUUCUCUCCCUGUUUCCUUAUUCUUGAGAGGAGGACAAGAGCUCCCACCCCCAUCCCGAGGACGGUUAGGAGCAGUAGCUAACGGAAGUGGCCGAGAAGCUCUCGGCAGAUGCCAAAUUCAGAAUCAAGUGUUGAGUGAUGGCCUCCCUCAGCGACCCUACGCACUGCACUGCGUUACCUCCGUGCCCCGCUCUAACUGCUCCGAUGACAGACUGCCCCGUGGGGCGUGAAGCCGGUCUGCCCAGAAGUCCCGGGUUCUGCUACAGAAGGUUGCCUUUGCAGGAACCACUGCAAUCCCUGCGUGUCCAGACUUAUGUUCUGGGUAGGAGACAACAGGUGAUGGAUGAGCUGCCAAGGCGGGGAGGCUGCCAGCAUCCAGCCCAGGCACCCGGGGCUUGGCACCCCUUUCCCGAGGGGAGGUGGAGGUGAAUACAUCAACAUGGUGGGGUCAAGUUUGAGUCCGCCUCCAUGAAGCCCUGGGGAACCUCCUUUUUGAAAAACAACUGGGACAGUGUGACAGCUGUUUAAGGAUGAAAAGGAAAGGGUCCCCCGGGAAACCUCCCCAGGGAAGGCUCUGCCUGCAGGAGGCUGUGAGUGACACACAAGACAGCCGGCAGGAGUGGGGACAGCCUGGCCUGCGUGACCGUCUGCCUCGUCAGUGAUCGGAAGCAGAGUACAUGUGUAGAAGCUGGUGGUCGCGAUGACCACAGCAGCAGUGCCACUGACUAGUACCGGUGGUGGGGCCUAUAGAGCAGUUAGACGGCUCUGAGGCUGUGGCCCUGCAAGGACUUGACCGUGACAUGGUUGCCACGUCGGAGUCCCCGCUGCUCCUUCAGCAGUUUAGUUUGGGGCCUUUAUAAACAAGACCCAAAUCGGGUUUUAUGGCUGCCAGCUAUCUGCAGCCACUUUAACAUCUGGUUCCUUAUGCAAUUGUCCCUCAUGACAAAUGAGUGGUGGGGCACAAAGAUGUGAAGGAUGGGGACAGAGAGCUCACCUUGAGAAGCUAAGCACUGGAGGGAUUCACAGAUGCAGCGUCUCUCGGCACUUCCUUUCCACGUCUCUGGGGCUGAAAUCCGAGGUCACGUGGUAUCUCUGUCAGAACAAGUCUGCUCCGCGGCCAACCAUCCUAUGGGACAGGGCAGGGCCCGGAUGGCGUUGGCUCCCGGGUCUGCCCUGGUGUAGGGUUCUCAGUGGCCCUAUUUUUGGCAGAGCUUUUUUUUAUCCUUGCUCUUUAUCACAAGCCUGUCGGGCAAAUGACAGAGGAAUUGCAAGCUUGAAUGGGCUUGUCUGACAGGCCAACUUUCAUCCUGGGUGCUGCCGCCUGACUUUUAAAAAGGCACUCGGAGCAGAAGAGAGUAAUUUCACACUGAUUCCUGGCUGUAAUUUGCUUUUGGGUUUAAAAUGUCGCAUUUCAAUCAUCCUUGCUUCAGGCCAGAGGGGAGGAGAUGGACCACGCGCGCCGUCCGUGUUUGUAACAGACACGCGCAAAGGCAACUGCUUCGCUCCGAAGCCACCCUGGCAAGCACACCGAGGAGCCCUCUCCCAGGGCAGACAAGCGCGUUCAAAGGCAUCCGUAAUAACUUAGCAGUUCUAGCAGGCAGAGCGAGCGAGCUGCAGGUGACACAAAGCCUGGCCUGGGACAUCCCCAUCAGCAAGCGUGUAUUAGACUACCUCUCUCCCCCAGGCCGCGGGAAGCAGAGGAGAUGCGGAGCUUUAGGCAAACCUCAGAAAUGGAAGGGUCAGAAACCCUGUGCGCACCUGACUGCACCAAGGACAAGACAAGGUCCGGCCGUGGCUGUGGAAUUCAGCUGGGGCAAGCGUGAGCCAAGAGGUACAAGGAGAGAAGCAGGAAGUGGCCUCCCUGCUCAUGCGGGCGGGUGAGCUUGUGCGUGGAGCAUCCUCGAAGAAAAGGGACAGAGGCGCGUGGGAAGGUCAGGGGCACGGUUGUGCCUGGUCAGCAGCAGGAAGGGUGACUUCUCCCGGCGCAGCCAUCAUCCCAGCCUUCGCCUCCUCUCACCAGGCUUCCUUACAGGCCACAUGCUGCCUGACAUGUAAUUCUUUUUUCCUGGGAUGGCUUCUAAUGUCCCCCCACCUUAAUCUUGCUCCUCACCUGCUUAUAAAUCCUUUGAGCUCAGGAACCACUAUCUAGCCCUCUCUGUCCACUCCAGGCUGACCCAACCUGACCUCCCUUGACCCUCCCCACAGAACUGCCAGCAUCCCUUGGGCAGGGGGUGACGCCUCGCUCUGUGGAUCUGGGGUGCUUUCUGGAGGCCUGACAGGGAAGCUGGACUGGUGGCAUUGCCAGGGGUUGCUGCUGCCUCUUCUAUCCGGCUGUGGGUGCCCUGGGAGCAGGAUCCACCUUCAUGUCUCAGCUCUUGGCUCCUGGCACAGUGCCUGGCACUCAGCAAAGGUUUACUGAAUGAAUGCAUUCCCCAUGUUUGGCCCAUCCUGGGGGAACGGGCCCAGCAUGUUUGGGGGGACAGAGUCAAAGAUAGGAGACAAGAUGAAUGCUUCAGAGGGAAAUGAGGCCCCGGGACCCUCCUGAUAUGCUGGGGGCACCCGGGGCCAACCCUAGAUAUGAUGCUUUGGGAAGUGAUGCUUGCUUUCUGGAGCCCCUGCCUCAUCUUGAGACCGUGUUCUACUUUGUCGGGUUUUUCCAAAACUUUCUGUCAGCUUUCUCUUAUGGCCUUCAGUUACACUGCUGGACUAAUUAACAGUCUCCAGAGAUGGACUGUGGGGUCUGGGUGUACAGGGGCCAUGUGUCAGGGUGGGGAGCUGGACAGAGAGGGUGGUGAAGAUCAGGGGCUCAAGGCUGCCCCCCGCCCUGCCAUGUGAUGUGGAUGGGGGUGCUCAGCUUCCCUGCACACGGAACUCUAGAAGGGAUGCAGAGAGUCUCCAUUGAGUCCUCCAGAAAGUUAGGCACACUGAUGCAUGCGAGUGUCCCAGGUGAUGCCCAGCACAUCGUAAGUGCUCAUUAAAAGCCAGUUCCUGCCAUUUGAAACCA